rnacentral:rRNA from 1 species
GAUGAACGCUGGCGGCGUGCCUAAUACAUGCAAGUCGAGCGAACAGAUGAGGCGUUCGCUUCUCUGACGUUACCGACGGACGGGUGAGUCACACGUGGCUAACCUACCUAUAAGACUGGGAUACCUUCGGGAAACCGGAGCUCACACCGGUUCAUAUAUUGAACGGCAUGGUUCAAUAGUGAACGACGGAUUUGCUGUCCCUUAUAGCUGGAUCCGCGCCGCAUUAGCUAGUUGGUAAGGUAACGGCUUACCAAGGCGACGAUGCGUAGCCGACCUGAGAGGGUGAUCAGCCACACUGGAACUGAGACACGGUCCAGACUCCUACGGGAGGCAGCAGUAGGGAAUCUUCCACAAUGGGCGAAAGCCUGAUGGAGCAACGCCGCGUGUGUGAAGAAGGUCUUCGGAUUGUAAAACUCUGUAAUUUGGGAAGAAGAACUGUGAAUGUAACUAUUCACGUCUUGACGGUACCAAAACAGAAAGCCACGGCUAACUACGUG